rnacentral:lncRNA from 1 species
AUGGGGGUGAAGACCAUUGAGUCAAGGUCUGAAUGGAAGGACACAAAGACACACAUAGAGGGAAGAUAUGAAGAGGCAAAGAUGGCUGUCUACAAACCAUGGAAAGAAGCCUGGGACAGAUCCUUUCCUCAAGGCCCUCAGAAGUAACCAACUCUGCCCUCACCUUGAUCUCAGUCUUCUAGCCUCGAGAAUCAUGAGACAAUAAAUUUUUGCCUUUUAAACCAGCC